rnacentral:misc_RNA from 1 species
GCAAACUUGGUCAUUUAGAGGAAGUAAAAGUCGUAACAAGGUUUCCGUAGGUGAACCUGCGGAAGGAUCAUUACAAAUCUGUUGUAGUGGGGGUAAAGGGGGAGAGUAGGUAGGGACUAGCUGUCCUUAUCUUUCUACCUGCUUGCCUACCUACAUAUGCACGAGGCUCUACUCUACCGUAGAGUUCUCGCUAUGCUUACGCUUGUAUGUUUGACAGAGUUAUGUGUUGCAACUAUCUAUACAACUUUUAACAAUGGAUCUCUUGGCUCUUGCAUCGAUGAAGAACGCAGC